AUGGUGAACCGGAUCAACACAUCUUUCUGGGACCUAAAGUUCCCAACAUCGGAGGAGCCAAACUCCAGCCCAUCAGCAGAUGAUACUGGGGAUGCCGACAUCGUGUUCGAAGACCUCAACCAUGAAAGCAUAGCCGCCAUAAUACCCGGGGAACUCGAGCUAGGGGAGGUCGAGUGCCUAUCCGACGGCAACCUCGAGCGGAUCACGAAGGAGAUCAAUGGGUUCUACGGCCUCUGCGACGAGCUGGACGUGGGGGCUCUCGAGGAAAAUUGGAUCAUGGGCGGGUCUUUGGAGGUCAUGUCUGCGUCGGAAGUGUCGAUGGCGCCUGCCGCCACCGACGGGAUCACUGAUGGUGCUGUCACUUUUAGCUUCGUUGAACCCUCUCGCUCAUCAUGCUUUACGGCUUGGAAGAGAUCGUUGGACUCAACAGAAGACGUGGAUACGUCCGUCGCCGGGGAGUCGCAGAAGUUGCUGAAGAAAGUUUUGGCCGGUGGCGCAUGGGCAAAUAAUGGUGGUGACGGCACCGCGAGAGCUCAGGAAAGUACCAACACAAAAAACCAUGUCAUUUCGGAGAGGAGACGCCGGGAGAAGCUCAAUGAGAUGUUUCUGAUUCUCAAGUCGUUGGUUCCGUCCAUUCACAAGGUGGACAAGGCAUCCAUCCUAGCUGAAACGAUAGCCUACCUCAGAGAGCUGGAGCAGAAGGUGGAGGAGCUAGAAUCCAACAGGGCGGCCGCAACAGCCGUUCGAAAACUCCAUGACGUCAGCGGGAAGAAGGUGUUAGCUGGUUCCAAGAGAAAGGCGUCGGAGCUCGGCGGGGACGACGCGGACAGGGUGCUCUCCAAGGAGGACGUCCCGAGCAACGUCGUCAACGUCACCGUGACGGAAAAAGAGGUGCUCCUGGAGGUGCAAUGCCGGUGGAAGGAGCUGCUCAUGACACAAGUGUUCGACGCCAUCAAGAGCCUCCGCCUGGACGUGCUCUCCGUGCACGCGUCCACGCCCGACGGCCUCCUCGCUCUUAAGAUACGAGCUCAGUUUGCCGGCCCUGCCGCCGUGGAGCCCGGGAUGAUCAGCGAAGCGCUCCAGAGAGCCAUACGCAGGCGCUGA
rnacentral:rRNA from 1 species